rnacentral:rRNA from 1 species
AUUGAACGCUGGCGGCAGGCCUAACACAUGCAAGUCGAACGGUAACAGGAAGAAGCUUGCUUCUUUGCUGACGAGUGGCGGACGGGUGAGUAAUGUCUGGGAAACUGCCUGAUGGAGGGGGAUAACUACUGGAAACGGUAGCUAAUACCGCAUAACGUCGCAAGACCAAAGAGGGGGACCUUCGGGCCUCUUGCCAUCGGAUGUGCCCAGAUGGGAUUAGCUAGUAGGUGGGGUAACGGCUCACCUAGGCGACGAUCCCUAGCUGGUCUGAGAGGAUGACCAGCCACACUGGAACUGAGACACGGUCCAGACUCCUACGGGAGGCAGCAGUGGGGAAUAUUGCACAAUGGGCGCAAGCCUGAUGCAGCCAUGCCGCGUGUAUGAAGAAGGCCUUCGGUUUGUAAAGUACUUUCAGCGGGGAGGAAGGGAGUAAAGUUAAUACCUUUGCUCAUUGACGUUACCCGCAGAAGAAGCACCGGCUAACUCCGUG